CACGUACUUCCGGGUGUAUUCGCGUAUCAAAAUAAAAAGUUCGUCGCAAGUCAACUUUUUGGCGUACUACGGAAGUACUAACCAAUCAACAUUCACGAAAUUUUGAAAUUUAAAAACGUUUUCGCUACGAUACGGUACGGUACGGUACGGGCGAAGUGGAAAACCGGCUUAAGUAAUAUCUAAAGUCAGAUUUGUCUCGUAGAUUUGUAACAUUGUUGAAUAGUUUAGGUUGAAUGAACAAUUACGAGGGCAUUGUCCUAGCAUUACUGUUCUCUAAAUUAUACGUGUAUAAUCUUU